rnacentral:tRNA from 1 species
CGGGAUAUGGCGCAGCUUGGUAGCGCACCUCGUUCGGGACGAGGGGGUCGCAAGUUCAAAUCUUGUUAUCCCGA